GCCGAAAUAUAGCUCAGUUGGAAGAGCGUUAGACUGAAGAUCUAAAGCGUCCACGGGUUCCAAUCCGGGUUUCGGCA